rnacentral:tRNA from 1 species
AGCUUUAUAUUCAAAUAAUGAUAUAAAAUUGCAAAUUUUAAGUUAUAAAAAAAAAAUUAUUAAGGCUU